rnacentral:rRNA from 1 species
GACGAACGCUGGCGGCGUGCUUGACACAUGCAAGUCGAACGGAAAGGCCUGCUUUCCCUUGUGGAUUGCGGGUACUCGAGUGGCGAACGGGUGAGUAACACGUGAGUGAUCUGCCCCCAACUUGGGUAUAAGCCUGGGAAACUGGGUCUAAUUCCCGAUAGGACUGCAGGGUGGUUCCUGUGGUGGAAAACGAUUUUCUAGUGGUUGGGGAUGAGCUCGCGGCCUAUCAGCUUGUUGGUGGGGUAAUGGCCUACCAAGGCGGCGACGGGUAGCCGGCCUGAGAGGGUGGACGGCCACAUUGGGACUGAGAUACGGCCCAGACUCCUACGGGAGGCAGCAGUGGGGAAUAUUGCACAAUGGGCGGAAGCCUGAUGCAGCGACGCCGCGUGGGGGAUGACGGCCUUCGGGUUGUAAACUCCUUUCGACCGCGAGGAAGCCACCUGGUUGGAAGGGUGGUGACGGUAGUGGUAGAAGAAGCACCGGCUAACUACGUG